CCUACGGGGAGCAGCAGUGAGGAAUAUUGCACAAUGGGGGAAACCCUGAUGCAGCGACGCCGCGUGAGUGAAGAAGUAAUUCGGUAUGUAAAGCUCUAUCAGCAGGGAAGAAACAGACGGUACCUGAGUAAGAAGCCCCGGCUAACUACGUGCCAGCAGCCGCGGUAAUACGUAGGGGGCAAGCGUUAUCCGGAUUUACUGGGUGUAAAGGGAGCGUAGACGGCGAAGAAAGUCUGAAGUGAAAGCCCGCGGCUUAACCGCGGAACUGCUUUGGAAACUUUUUUGCUGGAGUACCGGAGAGGUAAGCGGAAUUCCUAGUGUAGCGGUGAAAUGCGUAGAUAUUAGGAGGAACACCAGUGGCGAAGGCGGCUUACUGGACGGUAACUGACGUUGAGGCUCGAAAGCGUGGGGAGAAAACAGGAUUAGAUACCCCUGUAGUC
rnacentral:rRNA from 1 species